AAUACCCAUCGUGGAAAACCACAUUAAGAUUCACACAAAGGGAAUUGAAACAUCUUAGUACCUUUAGGAAAAGAAAUCAACCGAGAUUCCGUGAGUAUUGGCGAAAGAAAACGGAGCAGGCCGUAUAUAUACGUUUGUGCAAAACAUGUCUGGGAAGCAUGACCAAAGAAGGUAAAAGUCCUGUAUGAUAAAAACGUAUAUAUCAAAAAAGUAAAACAUUUUAAUUUGUUUGAAGAUAGGAGAACCACCUUCUAAGCCUGAAUAUGAUAUAUAGAUCGAUAGUGUACAAGUACUGUGAAGGAAAGGUGAAAAGAACCCUUUAUAACAGGGAGUGAAAAGAUCUGAAACAAAAUACUGACAAGCAAUUGGAGCUUAGCUUUUAUUUUUAAAUAAAACAUAGUGACAGUGUACCUUUUGCAUAAUGGGUCAGCGACUAAAUGAAACAAGUAUGCGUAAGCAGUGAUGUGGACGCAGAGCAAAAGCAAGUCGACAAUGGCAUGAUAUUUGGUUCAUUUGACCCGAAACUAAGUGAUCUUAUCUUGAACAGGUUGAAGAAAGCGUAAUGUCUUUUGGAGGACCGAACCGACGUCUGUAGCAAUAGACGCGGAUGAUUUGAGAUAAGGGGUGAAAGGCCAAUCAAACUUAGAAAUAGCUGGUUCUUCGCGAAAUAUAUUGAGGUAUAGCGUACAUAGAAUUUCUGUUACUGGGGGUAGAGCACUCAUUGAGCUAUGGGGGUCCAAAACCUUACUGCUCUCAAGGAAACUCCGAAUACCAUAUAACAUGAUGUGUGUGCAGUCAGACAUAUAGUGCUAAGGUUAUAUGUCGAAAGGGAAACAGCCCAGCCCAGCCGCUAAGGUCCCUAAGCUUUCUGUGAGUGGGAAAAGGAGUGAAACAACGUUGACAACUAGGAGGUUGGCUUGGAAGCAGCCAUUCUAUCAUGAAAGCGUAAUAGCUCACUAGUCGAGUUGUUUUGCACUGAAAAUGUAUCGGGGCUGAACAGAAACACCGACGCGCUGGUUUUAUAUUUUAAAAGGUAGCGAAGCGUUUUGUACGCCAAAGAAGUAUUUUCAGAAGAAAAUACUGAGGUAUCAAAAGUGACUAUGCUGACAUGAGUAACGAAAAUCAUGUACAAUCAUGAUCACCGUAUGUUCAAGGGUUUCUGCGUCCUGGUUUACAGCGCAGAGUUAUGUCCGGUCCCUAAGAG
rnacentral:rRNA from 1 species